GGUGAACCAGCGGAGGGAUCAUUACAGAGUUGAAAAACUCCCUAAACCCACUGUGAACCUACCUAUAUCGUUGCUUCUGCGGGCAGCCCCAGGGCGGGGCCCAGGCCAUUUACAGGUGCCCGCCGACGGCUAUUACAAACUCUUCUAUUAUUUACAGGGCACUCUGAGUAAAGAUAAAAUCAGUCAAAACUUUCAACAACGGAUCUCUUGGUUCUGGCAUCGAUGAAGAACGCAGCGAAAUGCGAUAAGUAAUGUGAAUUGCAGAAUUCCAGUGAAUCAUCGAAUCUUUGAACGCACAUUGCGCCCAUUAGCAUUCUAAUGGGCAUGCCUGUUCGAGCGUCAUUUCAACCCUCAGGCCCUAAGCGGCCUGCUGUUGGGGCAUCUGCGUCUGACCGCAGGCCCUGAAAGAUAGUGGCGGUGUCCGCUAGCACUCCGGGCGCAGUAGAACUCUUUCUCGCCGAGGAUGUCUUGCGGGCUGCCGGCCGUAAAACACCCCAACGAUAGAAGGUGAC
rnacentral:rRNA from 1 species